GCGGUAGCCCAUCAGACCCAGAACCCAGUUUUACAUCGCGCUUAAAAAGAUCCUCCAGCCGGAGCUCGGAAAAGUCUGGCCCUCGUCCUUGGUGCUGGUGGUCGAGAUGGAUUUGUAUUUGCCACUGAAGCAAACGGGUGCUCUCCUGCCCUUCCUACCCUUCCUUCCUUCCUUCCUUCCUUACCCAGCUUGUUCUUGAUGGCCUCCAGAAUGCUGUCCGAGUUGCACAGCAUGCACGGCGUGGUGGUGCAGAUCUGGAUUAAGUACUUGCCCACAGGCUGGCGCUGGAACAUGGUGUAGAAGGUGGCCACCUCGUACACUCUCAUGGGCGGGAUCUCCAGCACCUCAGCCACCUGAAGGACAACAACGUGUUCAAUCAAGCUUCUGUAUUUUUCUCUCUCAUGCCCCGUCGAGGUGAAACUCGCCUUGUUCAUGACGGUGACAGGGAGCCAUCCGUGUUGUCUCUGGGCUAAAUCCAACACAGGGAUGGUGGCUGCUUGCUUGUGGCCAACAGGGUACAUGGAAAUUAUGGCUUCAAUUCUCUAUGGACAAAAUAAAACAUGUCUGAGGAUGACACCGCAAAGAAAAAAAAAAUCUUGAAACAACCAACAAAUUGAGCAGUUACAUAAGAAACAAUUACAGUUAACUAGUAUGGGUGAACAAAAUGUUUUCGUUGUAUGAAUCGCAGCAAUCGUUAAUUAGAUCUUCUGCCUUCUAAUGGAAGUGCAUUUCAUUGUUCUCCCUGUCAUUAUACGUUGUUGGCAUAGGUAGAUGAAGAAAGAUACAUUGUUUGUAGUAAAUGAAUAUUAAUUGUCCAACCAAUUUAACUAAUUGGACCAUCUGUUGAUCUCUCACGGCACAAUAUGCCAAAGCAAGGUGGUCAGGAAUCACUGCCGCAUGAUACUGUGUAAACCAACACAGUGCAGCUCAGCCUUGGGCUAGCAGAUGUUGUCUAUUGUAGACUUUACACUGAUCUGAUCGGUAUCGGCCGAUAAUUAGCAUUUUAUGUUGAUCGGUUUUAAUGUCAUAAUUCGCCGAUCCGAUCAAUGACGUCAUUGAUAGGCUCCGCAAAAGAUAUUUACUCCACGUCGCCAUCGUUUACAGUAUAUUUGAAUCCAAAAGCUAUUUUAUUUUUAGCCUAUUUUUUUUUUUACGCAGUACUGUAAAUAGCUGACCGUCAAUGAAGUUGUUUAUAAUUUUUUUUUUUUUUUUAUAAACAUGUCGGAGGUGUGUAACAGACAACACGUCUGAGACAGACAACAUGUAAUGCCUGGAUCAGACUACAAGACAAAUUUGGUCUUUCACGAUUGCAGUAUGUCAGACUACUGCAAUAGAAUCUUGUAUUCCGAUACCACCGCUUCCCGUCUUUUACGAUCACUGGGGUUUAUCUUGCCAACUCAAACGCGACCGGAUACACUCGUUACCAUUGCGACGACAACAAUGGAUCGCGUCGUGUGUAUUAUAAGAACAAAACGGGGAAAAACGUGUGCUGGUGGUCACCGGUGCUUGGGAGAGGACUUUAAUUCAAGGAUUGCUUGAGGUAUGUUCACGUAGUUUUAAUACGAUACGACUCGCAAGCAGGCAACAAAACGUUAUGUAGGCUAGCAAACUAGUGCUAGCACUAACGGUUGUACGUAAACGUUAUGUCGAAUCAUGCUCUAAAAUUUCGGUGUGUGUGAAGUAAUUACAAUAAAGUAAUUUAAUAACA